GACGACUGCAUCAUUUUACUGCUCCUGGGAAUCCCUCGAGUGGUGUCUGUAGUGGGGGAUAGACAACGUUGAAUGUGAAAUAACAGCAGAGUCUCGCAACCAGAGGCCCUCGCACACGUCUUCUGGUUCUGCCCCAAAUACAGCAAAGAACGCACCCGCUUGUUAAAGUCCUGAAGAAGUUAAAAAUAUCUACGUUUAAGGGGACUGACGACGGUGGCCCAAUUGUAUAAAUCGUCGGCCGGACGACGGGACCCGUGAGGCGCGGAUUCGAGUCCAGCACAGGGCACUGGAAUUUUAAUCUUUUGGAAACCAUCGAUCGGAAGUCUGGACAUCAAGAAUCAUCAAGAAAUAUUGUUUCCCCGAUGAAGUUGAUGGAAGCUGUGUCGGCCAAGGUUUUCCAUGGUUUUCCCUAGUCACCAGGAGAGCCGGUAUAUUGCGUACAGCUCCCGGGGUAAAUGCGAGACGGUUGGCGAGAAAGUGGACUUAUGAUACGGCAGAUACAAUGUAAAAAUGAUAAUUUUCUCCGAACGACCAAAGCCCAUCGCGAUUACCAAACGAUACGAUGGCAUAAAAAAAAUUAAUGAAGAUUCAGAUCCUGGGUUUCCCACGCCGGAGAAACGUAAAAAAUGGACAUCCUGUUUCAACUGAAGUGAAAUAAAAAUUAUUAUUCAGGCAAAACAUCAAAGAUUCGCUGUUCUUGCUUGUGUUAAAAUAAAAAAAAUCAACAGCUUAUUAUUUGCGACUAUUGGAAGACGAAAAUUGAUUCAUUAAUAUUACGGAAUACCGUGAAAAUGUUGACGUUUUGGUCGCAUUAACUAGCGUUAGGAGCAAUUAAACUUCUCGCUGGGCGGACGUUUUUGACGACGUAACCAGCGUUAUGCCUUCAACUUCUUGCUCGUAAUGGUAACAACGUUCGUGGAAGAAAUGGUAAAUGGCACUGAUGCACGACCAUGGAAUUCAUCCUUUUUCACGUACAUUGUAUCACUUGUAUGCAUGUACAUUUGAUUGUGUACAUAAUAGUGAGUAUCACUAACACUUUUAAAUAUGUCAAUGCAUUGUAUAUUCACACGUGAUUCCGGUGGUGAAUAUGUGGACAAGAUGAGGCGCGGCUAUCAUCAAAGUACCGGGGCUAGUUGAGCCACUUAACGUCCUCGGGUUUUCACAUUUGCGAGGCAAAAGUCACUUGCCCCCUUCCCCGGGAUAAUUCUUGCAAUGCACGCGCUCAUUCACUUGCCAGCGCCGGAUGUCGUACGAUUAUUCGCAUGAUUUACCAGUGUAUUUAAAGAUCAGGCUAAUCGUUCUGAUACACAGCACAAACCAAUGGCGAAUUUUUGGGUCUUUUUUAGGUUCAUUUGGGGGCAGGGAAAUUAGGGUAAUGAGCGGUGGAAUUGAGGUGCAAAAGGCUAGAAUACUGCAAUGUAUUUUAUUCACACGUUAAAGUUUCAAUUACAGUGAGAGAAAAAUACGAUUUUGCCAAUCAUUUUUGUUUUCAAUAAACAAAUGCCUGAAGUUUCCAUCCGAAAAAUAAUUUUAAAUUGUUACCAGAAAAAUAUUUAAUUGAGAUAAUUAUACUUUUCUCGCAGUGUAAUGCGAUAAAUUUUGUGAUAUAUUUAGCAAUUAAUGAUAUGUGACUUCGGAAAAUUUAGGAAACAACACUAUAAAAUUUGAAGAUCUAUCAAUUUUUUUUCACUUUAAAUAAAUAGUUGCUGGAAAUCCUUAAAAAGUUUACGAUCUAAAUUAGCUUUUUUACUGUGUCGCACAGCAAUUUUUGGUUAACUCACUGGUAUUGGUUAACGAUGAGAACCGACUAUGUCCGAUUAUCGCCGACUUUGGACUCUGUCAUGGAAACUGUUCCAUCAGCCAUUUGGUGUCCAUCUCCUCGUCGCCAAUUACACUUUGAAUUUUUACGUGGUCGAGACAGAAGUUUUCCUCAGCCGAUAAAGAAAUUGUAUUGAGCGACAUACUAAUUUUUCUUAAGUCUGUAGCUGCGCCGACAUCGUAAGGCAGCACAGUAAUGUUUAUCUGAAUGACACUAUAACAAUUCCCAGACCUUUCUCUCCGGAAAACCAAAUUAUCCGGAAUUUCCUCCCCAAAUGAAAAAUCCCAUAAGCCUUUCUCAAACAGUAACUCAAUUCCCAAUAUCUACAAUUCAAACACCACUACUGGUCAUUGAAAAAAAAAUCAAACACUGCAAUAUUUGCUUUGUUAAAUUAGCCAGUGUUGGAUGGCAAUUAGUUACACUUGAGUCGUUGAAAUAUUUUAUGAAUAUUUCCGGGUUUGUUAUUUAAGAGUCAUAAAGCGUCAUUAUCGAACAGACGGUGGCCCCAGUGGAGGGGUAAAAAUGGAUCUUCGAUCAUCCAGUGAUUUCUAAUGGUUUUUUGUAUUCGAGAAUUCGAGAAUCGAUGGGUUGGCGGAGGGAGGGGGCGAAGUGAAGGGACAAACGGAAGGAUAAAAAAUUGAAAAUUAUUGUUGGCUGACCGGUGAACCUCGCGUGACGAGUUUGCAUUAACGGGAAAGAAUAAUGUAGAGUGAACUCCAUGGCGAUUUGUAUCGAUCUUUACUCUCGGUAGAAUAAUUUUCUGUAUUUUCUUUAUUGAUUCCUUGUUUACGUACAAUAGUGGGGGAUGAUAACUGGUAGGGAGUAAGGUUUAUGUGAAAUUACAGACAAUUCUCAUUUGAGAAAAUUAUUUAAUUCGAAUAGACAUUGGGUGAAGCCCUGGAGAAAUGAUUUUAUGAGCAAGUUGUCGAUUGCAACUGAAUUGCAAAAAAUUGGAUGGUUUUUUACGUUAUAAUUCCGAUGAAAUAUAGUCAUGAACAUCGUUCGCUUGGCCGAGGCAAUUGUAGUCGUUAGGGUUAUGUAAAUAAAUUAUGUAAAGGUAUGUACAUAGUUAUACAUAGGGGUGAGUCUGGUGAUUUUGGUUUGUUAUAAUUUUGUUGUCAUUUUAACAUUGUCCCGCACCUUUAUGAUUAUUUAUUGAUAUUUUAUGGAGGAUAGUGGAAUGGAAGAAUGAAAACGGAAGCCCUUUGUGUCUUCUGGAGCAGUUCAUAAAUAAAUAUUUAGUCAUGAAAUUCAAUACUGAUAGACAAUUACUUUUGUAAUUUUAAAAGGAAAUGUUUGAAGGUUUUAUGGAGAACCCGAGUUAUAUGGAGUUGGCAAAUAUUUAAAUAAUGGAUAAUUUCCAGGUGAAUAGAACACUGAGGAAGAUAUAAAGAGAACAAAUAGUGAUGCUAAUUUCAUUGAUAAUUAGAUAAUUUUCUAAUAAAAAUGAAAGUUCUCUGAAAAAUUCUGGUAGUUCUUAACAACCUGCUAUUAAAGAAUAGGAAUUACCUGAAUUUUUCAGUAAAUUAUCCGUAAUGAUUAACCUGAUAUUUAUCAUUUUAAUGGUUUUUUAAACAAAUUAUGAAAUUACAAAUUCUUCAAAAUUUGAAAGAUUUAAUU